CACUACACGAAAUCCCGGAUUUAUAGAGGUAUGCAAAUGUUAUGUAAAUGUAUUCAGAGACCGACAUUUACAUAUAUUUACAAACCACUGCAUUUAGUUUAUCUUGUCUUUACAUGUUGUAAAUAUUAAUAUUUCUUGUGCUAUACCCUCCUAUGGGCGGUUAUGAGAGACCGCGGUUUAUAAAAUAUCUUAACACCUAAUCAAACCAUUUUGCAGUUAAGAAUUUAUAUAUAUUUAUGACCGUCGCAAAACUUUUGCAAACUUAUGUAUUUGUAUACCUCUGCAAAUGGAAAUCUUUGUCAUGUAUUUUUCUAUGAUGUAAAUUUAUCCGCAAAUGUGUUUCUUUGUCUAGGUAGCAAAGCAUCAUCAUUCAAAUGAUUUUAUAUGGGUUAUAAAGUGUAAGGUGCAUCUACAUUUUCCUGGUAUGUAAACCAAUUCAAAACGAGA
rnacentral:lncRNA from 1 species